ACGGCGGGGUAACGGCCCACCGUGGCUUCGACGGGUAGCCGGCCUGAGAGGGCGACCGGCCACAUUGGGACUGAGAUACGGCCCAUACUCCUACGGGAGGCAGCAGUGGGGAAUAUUGCACAAUGGGCGCAAGCCUGAUGCAGCGACGCCGCGUGAGGGAUGGAGGCCUUCGGGUUGUAAACCUCUUUUAUCGGGGAGCAAGCGAGAGUGAGUUUACCCGUUGAAUAAGCACCGGCUAACUACGUGCCAGCAGCCGCGGUAAG
rnacentral:rRNA from 1 species